UGCCCUGUGGUGUAAUUGGCAACACGUCUGAUUCUGGUUCAGAAGAGUUCAGGUUCGAGACCUGACGGGGCAAC
rnacentral:tRNA from 1 species